UACGGGAAGCAGCAGUGGGGAAUUUUGGACAAUGGGGGCAACCCUGAUCCAGCCAUUCCGCGUGAGUGAAGAAGGCCUUCGGGUUGUAAAGCUCUUUCAGCUGGAGCGAAACGGUACGCUCUAACAUAGCGUGCUAAUGACGGUACCAGCAGAAGAAGCACCGGCUAACUACGUGCCAGCAGCCGCGGUAAUACGUAGGGUGCGAGCGUUAAUCGGAAUUACUGGGCGUAAAGCGUGCGCAGGCGGAUUGUUAAGCAAGACGUGAAAUCCCCGGGCUUAACCUGGGAAUGGCGUUUUGAACUGGCAGUCUAGAGUGCGUCAGAGGGGGGUGGAAUUCCACGUGUAGCAGUGAAAUGCGUAGAGAUGUGGAGGAACACCGAUGGCGAAGGCAGCCCCCUGGGAUGACACUGACGCUCAUGUACGAAAGCGUGGGUAGCAAACAGGAUUAGAUACCCUGGUAGUCCACGCCCUAAAGGAUGUCAC
rnacentral:rRNA from 1 species